GCGUGCGGCGGCCGGAGGUGGGAGGGGCACGGCAGUCGGGGGUGGGAGCCUCCCUGUGCAGCUGUGGAGUUCGUCCUGGCUGAUCUGCUUUGGCCGUUCAACUUUGCGUCUUCCGCUCGGCCAGCGCUCAACGAGGAGCCCCCCGGUCUCGCUCGUGUGUGGAGUUUGGAGUAUAUUCUAUGGAUGUGUUCUGCUCUCCUCUAUUUUCAACUGAACGUGCUGCCAUGUGUGGAUUUCCCCUCUAACUCCACAACAAGUUGAAUCCCAAAAAUUAUAAUGGUAAGUGCAAGAUUCAGUACUGUCCAUUUUGAUUUUCUAUAAAAAGGCCAAUCUUUGUUGUUGCUUCACAUACACUAGUAUAUGGGAGUACUAGAAUCCAUCCACGGAACAAUCAAGAAACCAUAGAUAUCAGCCCACCACUGUGUUGCGGAUGUGAUCUUUGUGUGCUUUUGAGUACUGUAAAACAAUAGUAUGCUUCUGGUUGCUGCUUGCUUCCACUGCCAACUUGUGUAAGUGCAAAAAGUUUCAUAUCGCAAGUUCAAAGAGGGUUGUAUGCAAGUUCAGAAGUUUGUUUGGAGCAUCUUUAGGUGUUUUUUGUAAUGUAGUAAAUAGUUUUUAAUACUGAAAACAAACCUAGUGAAAAAAUGUCCAAGCGACCAUCAUUCUUGCCUCCUAACCCCCGCCGUCAGGUCGCGGUCUCUUCUGCCGUCAGGUCGCAGCCUCUUCCGCUGUCAGGUCACAACCUCUUCCUUCUGCAGGUUGCCUCCUUGUACUGCUGCAGGCCAUGCCUCAUCCCCCAUUCUCGUGUGGUCGCCAACGAGGUAUCCUACUACAAUGGUGGUCACCGCCCCAGAACUCUCUCCGGUUCAUUUUGAUCUACUUUUGCACAAUUGUUCUUUAUUUCACGAAUUUUGUUAUGGAGGAGGUGACCAAUUGUUGAUCCUGAAGUUUCAUCGCAAGAUUUUUUGUCUCUGAAUUUUGCGCCAAUUCUUGAUCAUGAAGCAUCAAUGCUUGAGCACUGGUUUUACAUGUCUUUUACCUCCUUGUGGUAAUGUGAUCAUGUUCAGAUUUUGCUUCAGUAUUUCUCUAUAAGAUAAAACAUAAAGGAAUCAAGUGUAUAGAUAAAUAAGUUCAGUACAUGGAUUUUUGGUUUGGUCAAUCUGUUAUCUAUGGAUUUUAUUUGGCCUAGAUUGCUAGGUGUAUAUCUUGUUGUGCCAAGCCAAUCAAAAACAAAAGUGUUGCUACUCUAAUUCACCCCCGACACCUCGACAGUCACCAGGCGUGACGCACCUCCUCCCAAAGAGGUGCACGCCUCCCCGCACCUCCUGCUGGCGACGUGACCACUUCUCGUGGCAAUGCGCCAUGUGUGGACCAUGUUCCGAUGUCGCCCUCCGCGCCUCAGCGCACAGGCCGUUCAACUCCGUCACCUGAGGCCAUUCACCUCCGCCACGGACGAGGUCAGUUCGACUUCACUUACUACACCUAUUGCCACUGAAAACUGAAAUUUGAUUAUUGCCACUGAUUUCUUGUAGUGCCUUCCAUGAAAUAACCUGACAAAAUAAUACUGGACAUUGUGCACUAAGCUGAAGAAGUGUUGUCAGUACAUUGAUUUUUGUAAAAUAUCGUCAAUUCAUGAAAAAAGCAAAAACACAAAUAGACAUUGUUCUCCUGUCCGUUCGCUAUGUAUUCUAUCAUCAUUUCAAAGAUAAGAAAUUCCCUUUUCUUCAAUAUGUAUUGUAUCGUCAGUUCGGUGUGUGUUUUUGUUCUUUGUGCUCCAGUACACAGAGAAGAAAAUAUCGUCAGUGCAUGAAAAGAGAAUUUCUAUACUAAACUCAGUAUUAGUUUGGUGUGUAUUCUGUUGUCAGUUUGGUGUGUAUAUUUAUUCAUUCUCAUAAUUUUAUAAAAUCGCAUGCACUCUCUGUAAAGCUAAAUUCAGUUAAAAAGGUUCAUUUUGUAAAAUGAGUAGACCUAGCACACGGGACAUGGCAAGGAUCCCUCCGUUCAUGAACAUGACUGACUGACUGGUACCUCACUUUUCCAACACAUGCACACAUACUGGUUUGAAAGGAAAAAAUUGUUUUAAUUAAAAACAAUGACCAGUAUGAAUUAAAAACAAUGAUCAAUUCGAAAUAAAAGAAAUGAUUAGUUCAAAUAAAAAAUGCCAGUGCAUCGUCCCUCCACCACGCGGCCUCCGUCGUCGCGGUCCGCCCGGUGACGUUCACCGUCAUCCAUGGUGGCCUGCGACCCCACCGCAGCCACCCGUCCUCGAACGCCCUCACCAACGCCUUCAGUUCAAUCCACCUCCCCUUUCUGAAAAUCUUUUCCUUCAGUUCCACCGUACCUAGAAAAUUAGUUCAAUCCAUAUCCCUAUUUUUGAAAACACGUACACCCUUAUUUCGAUCUAGGAGAACGGCCAUUUUCUGGAGGAUUUUUUUCACUAGUGUCCUGUUUUGUUGUCAAUGCUAUCUAAUUUCAGCAGUGUCAUGUUUUGCUGUCGAUCCCGUCCUCGACAUCCACGAGCGCGAGCACCCUAUGUCCGGCAGCGAGAUGAAGGCCACCCGUGAUCCCUGCUACCCGUGAUCACUUCCACCUGGUGUGAGUUUGCUGCCCAGAACAAGCACGGCCAACUACAGUUCCCGUUGGUCGCCUUGGCCACCCUCAGUAAGAAAUCAAGAUUGUAAUAUGUAGGCGCAAGAACAUGAAUCCCUAUUUGAAAUGAGUACUCUUUUGUUUCAGCCAAUACUUCUUACUUUAAAUUCCACAAGUGGAUGCAUAUAAGAACAAUUUAGUAGACUAAUAGUGGUACAUCAGUAUGUAAAGGACGAUGUAAUUACCACAACCUCAAUGAUUGUAGUAUUUUUUUAGGAUUGAGCUUUGGCUUAGUUUGUUAGGUAUAGUUAGAGAGUAUCUAUUGAAUUUAUUUAGAGGCCUACUGUUUAGAAGUUUGAUGAAUUGUACACUCAUCAGUCUGUGUGUGUGUGUGUUGUUAUUUAGUUCCAGUGGAUGUGCGUGACAAAUCACUUUACUUUCUCAGUUCAGCUAGUCUUCCUCUUUAAGUUUGGGCUUCGCUCACCUGUUCGUGCUUGACAAAAUCGAGCUCUUCCAUGGUUCACAGUCCAACUGCUAGCCCCGCCUCUGGUCGCUCAAAGAAUCGCGUCCAGGCCACCUCGUGCUCCAUAGCUGUAUCCGGCGGGGCUGCUCAUGCGACGACCUCCUCUUCCAGGAUGCCGAAAAACAGGAUGCAACAUUUAUGAAGAAAGAGAUGAAUUUAGAGGAAGAUGCAACACUGGAACGUAGAAGACUCAGUUUACAAAAAAAACUGAAAAAAUAGCAGGAAUAGGCAGCAGUUUCCAAAAAUGAAGAUGGAGAUGUGUGCAUGUAUACAUGUGUUCUGGACUUAUAUGGUGGUGUGUGCAUGCUACUGUAUCCUCUUCUAGCCACUCUAAUCUACACCCUCAGUACAAGCCGAUGCAUCGCCCAGGUACACUGGAAUGC